rnacentral:rRNA from 1 species
AACGAACGCUGGCGGCAUGCCUAACACAUGCAAGUCGAACGAGACCUUCGGGUCUAGUGGCGCACGGGUGCGUAACGCGUGGGAAUCUGCCCUGGGGUGCGGAAUAACUCGGAGAAAUCCGUGCUAAUACCGCAUAAUGUCUUCGGACCAAAGAUUUAUCGCCCUGGGAUGAGCCCGCGUAGGAUUAGCUAGUUGGUGGGGUAAAGGCCUACCAAGGCGACGAUCCUUAGCUGGUCUGAGAGGAUGAUCAGCCACACUGGGACUGAGACACGGCCCAGACUCCUACGGGAGGCAGCAGUGGGGAAUAUUGGACAAUGGGCGAAAGCCUGAUCCAGCAAUGCCGCGUGAGUGAUGAAGGCCCUAGGGUUGUAAAGCUCUUUUACCCGGGAUGAUAAUGACAGUACCGGAGAAUAAGCUCCGGCUAACUCCGUGCCAGCAGCCGCGGUAAU